rnacentral:lncRNA from 1 species
GUGUGUUGUAGCUUGUGUCUUUGAAUAUCAUUGUGGUUCAAGGACUGUCAUUGUGGUUGUAGCUGUUGAGAUUGAACCUUGAUUAAAUCCUUCAAGAGAAGCAAAGAAGCUUGCAGCGUCUUGGGAAGUUCGUGAUGUUUCACGAACUGUUAAUAAAAACAACACAAUGUGUAAUUGGAAUGUCAUGUAGUUCACCAUUAUCACUUUUAAUCUUCAAGUGUGGUAAAAGUCCCAUAAUUACUGAGAGAAACGAGGGAUGAACCCUAAUUCAUUACGAUAAUUUAGGUUGGGGGUUUUUCCGUUAAAUCUUUAAUUUAGGGGUUUUUAACCAAAAUAAAUUUAAUUAGGAGAGGGGGGGGGGGGGGAGGUUACGUUAAAAAUCCUAUUUCAAAUCAAAAUAAUACUUAAAAAUUGAUUUAUAUCAAAAAUUCAUUCAAAAAUAUACAUAUAUUAAAAUUUUGAUUUUUACUAAAAUAUUUUCCAAUAAUCAUUAUAAAAAAAAAUGUUUAUGUAUAAGAAAAAUACAAUACAAAGCCCAAUUUCAAACACAUUUAAAUUAUGGUUUUUAUCUUUCACAUUAAAUUUUAAAAAUAUAAUAUAUAGAUUAUUUAUAUGAUGAUACAUAUAAAAUACUAUUAAUUAUAUGAUUACUUUAUGAUAUAUACAAAAUACUAUUAAUUAUAUGAUGAUACCUAUAUGAUAGAUAAUAUUGACUAGGGGUGGGUGGUCGGAUACCCAUUCGUGUUCGGUUCGGGUCUGUUUGGGUUUCGGGUUUUCUGAGUCAAAGAUUCACCCCCAUUCGGAUAUUUAUAAACUUCGUUUCGG